rnacentral:ncRNA from 1 species
AUAUAUACAAAGCUGAAGUAUUAUAUUGAAUACCGACAACUACAAACUCCCCUGUGAUGAUCAUUGUCGUCAGAAAUAUUCACCUGGUUGAUUUUGAUAACUAACAAGACCAAAUAAAUAAUAUUUUAGCUUUCUGUGUAUAUUUAAGGACCAUUCCAUAUUACGUUUUCAUCAAACGUUAUGAAUUGUAAUCCAGUAUUAUGCCUAUUUUUAAUUCUUAGAAAGGUAAAAGGGAUACUUGAGUAGCAUAAAAUUGAGCAGUAACAGUUCUGUUAUGCUCUUAGAUAUCUAAUACCAUAUGGAGGCAACUAAGGUGGUUCUGACAAGUAUAAACAUUUGGUUAGAAAUAACUGAGCAGACAGUUUGAUCAUCGUAGUGUUUGGGGUCGGAGCUUCCAAUUAUUGAUUGUAAAUGAAGAGUGUUUAAUAAGUGUAUGUCAUAAGCUUGCGAUGAUUAUAUUCAUGCCCUUUAUUCAUGCAAUCCAUCGGUACUACUUAGUGAGUGGAUUAGUGAGGCCUCCUAGUAUAUCUGCUUCUCAACCUGUGUGGAGAUUAUAUAAUUUAACCGUUCAGAUAACGUAAAAGUUGUACCAAUAUUUCUGUAGUUGAAACUGAUAUGAUUAAUA